rnacentral:rRNA from 1 species
GACGAACGCUGGCGGCGUGCUUAACACAUGCAAGUCGAACGAUGAACCCGGAGCUUGCUCCGGUGGAUUAGUGGCGAACGGGUGAGUAACACGUGAGUAACCUGCCCUUGACUCUGGGAUAACUGCGGGAAACUGUAGCUAAUACCGGAUACGACCCUCGGCGGCAUCGCCAGGGGGUGGAAAGAAUCUCGGUCAAGGAUGGACUCGCGGCCUGUCAGCUAGUUGGUGAGGUAACCGCUCACCAAGGCGACGACGGGUAGCCGGCCUGAGAGGGUGACCGGCCACACUGGGACUGAGACACGGCCCAGACUCCUACGGGAGGCAGCAGUGGGGAAUAUUGCACAAUGGGCGCAAGCCUGAUGCAGCAACGCCGCGUGAGGGAUGACGGCCUUCGGGUUGUAAACCUCUUUUAGUAGGGAAGAAGCGAAAGUGACGGUACCUGCAGAAAAAGCACCGGCUAACUACGUGCCAGCAGCCGCAGUAA